AGCUAAGAACACAAGGACUGCCAGCUAUCACCAGAAGCUAGGAAGAGAAAGAAGAAAAGUGUUCCCAGAUUGAAGGUCUGAGGUGCUAGAAGGAAUAAAAGCCAAAGAUAUUAGUAAAUUAAGUACGGAAAUCUAAAAAAAAUCGAGCGUUCCGAAUAAGUGGAGACUCAUUAGGCACACCAGUGUUCCAGCGACCUUUCACCUAGAACUCGCGGCCUUCGGCAAGGCACGCAGCUACGGCUAAACCCAAAGUGGGACCCGCCUUGGGGUCGGCGGGACACCUCACUCUGGAUCCUUUACCUGUGGAAGAGAUUGUAACAUGACUGCCACCCUGAAGUACACAACUCUGCGUUACUUUUCACAAGUUACCGCAGAUCCGAGGAACACUGUGUCCAGCGCGGACCAGCGUUCCAGACCUCGCCGGGCAGCUUCAUUAACCCUCCCACCGCGGGGGCCGGGCCACCCAUGCCAUCCACUUCGCCCGGCGGGGUUUCUUCCCCACGGCUCCCGAUUCCCCUUACCCCGUGUUGGGCAACAUGACUGUUGCAGAUUGGAGGCGGUGGCGACAACGGCCUCAGCGAGCGGAUACUGAGAGGAUGACUUCUCCCCGCACUUGGCCCCGCCCCGAGGUCUGCGGGGUAAUUGGGCGCUCCAAGAAACGAAAGGUGGCUGAGUGCGCCUGCGCACGCAGUGGGCCUCCGUGGCGCUCGGCGCUGGUUUCCGCCUCCCGCCUGCCUGGCCCCUGGAAACCGACCCUAAGCGCAAGCGCUGUGAGAGACGACUCCGCCCCGCCUCUCUUGCGGGGGCUCUACGGUGACAAUUGGUCUCCAGCCCGCGGCUAGAAUGCUGGACGCGUCAGCCGCUGAGUACACCUUUCCCCGGCCUGUGAAGGGUUCCUAGCCGCAGCGCUGAGUUCCUUUGCCGGGUUGGGGGCGUGGGGGGCGUUUGAGUCGUGCACCAGGGACCUUGAGGGCUGAGGUGCGGCUUCUCAGCGGACUUUGGCUCUCGGUCCCCUCGCCGUCCACGCCGGCACCUGGACGCCUGCCCAGCUGCACGCGCGCCCUCGGAGGCCCCUCUUAGGAACGCUUUUCCUGGGCAGAUAAGCACUCUUCCGGCCAGCGGCGCAUUUCGACUCUCCCGCGAAAUCUGGACUAAAGCCGGCCGGACUAUAGAUAAACAGCUCUGUGGUGAGGGGCAGCUUCUGGAUCAGAGAUCUGCAAUAGUCGCACCGAAGAACUAAGUUAACUCUGAUUUUUCGACUCUUAGCCAAUAUCUCGGCGAGGAAAUUCCCAGACUCAGUGGUGGAAUAAGGUGAAUUCUGGGAGCCGGUAUUGCUUUUGGUAGUAUACCUUGGACAUAACUCAGCUACUCUAAUGAACUAGAGACCGGCAUAAUAUUUUUAGGUAGACGUGAAGAAAUUCUAUUUUGAAGAGGUAGAGCAGGAUGAUGAGGUUAUGUGAGUAGAUAAAGUAACCCGGAAAAAAAAAAAAAGAAAGUAACCUGGAAAUAGGAUAUGUACUCUCUCUUUUAUUACAAGCCCUAAACGUCUAUUUAUUCAUUUAUAUCACUUGCCAGUCUCAUAGGCAUUUGAAUUUGAGAUCUGUGAUACGGUCCUUAGAGACUCCGGAGGAAUUUACUUAUUCAAGAAAUAUUAGCACCGAGUGGGUGCUGGUCACUGGAGAUACAGUGGGGCAAAAAAAGGCACGUUCUCUGCUUAUGUAGAAGAACAAGGAGUAAUCAAUGUGGUGGGUUUUUUUUUUCCUUAAAGGUUAUCUUCAUAUUUAUUUAUUAUUUGGCCGCACUGGCCGGCAUAGGGGCUCUUAGUUCCCCGACCAGGGAUCAGACGUGUGCCCCCUGCAGUGGAAGCCCAGAUUCUUAACCACUGGACCGCCAGGGAAGUCCCCACUAAUGAGUUCUUUAGACUAUUGUAAAUGUUAGGUGUUUUAGAGAGUGUGUUGAUAGGGACUGUUAGAUGAAAAAGCUUACUCUCCACUCAUUCAAGAAAGUGAAGGCAACCUACAGAAUGAAAGAAAAUAUUUGCAAAUCAUAUAUCUGACAAUGUCUAGUAUCCAGAAUCUAUAAAGAACUUUUACAACUCAGCAACAAAAAGAUGAACCUCCAAUUUAAACGUGAGCAAAGGACCUCAAUAGACAUUUCUCCAAAGAAGAUAAACGAACAAGCAAGCACAUGAAAAGAUGCCCAACAGCAAUAGUUAUUAGGGAAAUACAAAUCAAAACCAGUGAGAUUCCACUUUACAUCCACUAGGAUUGCUAUAAUAGAAAAGAUGGAAAAUACUAAGUGUUGGCCAAGAUGUAGAGAAAUUGGAACCCUCAUACAUUGCUGGUGGGAAUGUAAAAUGGCACAGUCACUUUGGAAAACAGUUUUGCAGUUUCCCCAAAGGUUAAAGUAUGGUUACCAGCUACUGGGUAUCUACCUACAAAAGAGCAAUUCCACUCUUGAGUGUAUAACCAAGAGAGAGGAAACUUCUUGAGAGUAACCACUAGAUGGCACUGGUAUUUUAAAAUUCACAGUUAUACAAUACGCAAAAUGUUAAUUUAUUAACAAUAUUGUGACGUUAUAAUCUGACUUGGAUUAAGCCAAAAAUAGCAUGAGGUUCCUUAUAGGACCCUCAUAAAGGGGAAAUAAGAGGAGGCAUAAAUUUUAAAUUCCUUAAAGAAAUACUUUUUAUCAUUAGAACAAAUUGUCAUAAAUAGUCAAACUUAUCUUCACUUUUUGUGACUUCUAAAGUCUAUCAAGGGACUCCCCUGGUGGUCCAGUGGUUAAGAAUCCGCCUUCCAGUUUCGAUCCCUGGUCAGGGAACUGAGAUCCCACAUGCUGUGGGGCAACUAAGCCCUUGCGCCACAACUACUGAGCCCAAGCACCGCAACAAAAGAUCCCGCAUGCCACAACAAAGAUCCGGCGUGCCACAACUAAGACCUGGCGCAGCCAAAUAAAUAAAUAAUAAAUAAAUAAAUACAGUCUAUCAAGUUUGGGACUUCCCUGGCGGCCCAGUGGUUAGGACUCUGCGCUCUCACUGCCGAGGGUGGGGGUUUGAUCCCUGGUCGGGGAACGAAGAUCCCACAAGCCGCGUGGCACAGCCAAAAAAAAGCCUAUUAAGUUUAAUUCUCCAAUUUUAAAAAGUGCUUUUCAAAUACAUAGGAGAGUGAAAAUGCCAACUUGAAUUGAAAUAUCAAAGGAUAUGACACUGAAAACAAGUUUAAUCUUACUGUCAAAUUAGGACUCUUCUAACCCUGACCUUGCAUAAGGGUAUAUUUUCUUAAAGUGUAGAAUGCAGUGUAGAAUUCAGAUUUGUUGACCACAGCCCACAUACAUAAAUUUCUCAUCCAGACCCUGUACACGGUUUUCUAUUUUAUUUGAAUCUAUUAUGUAGUACCCCGUUUUUUGUUUUUUGUUUUUUUCAGUUGAUCAUAACCUACAAAGUUAUUUCAAUGCCUCAUUCUUGUAUCAUAACCUACCAUUUGGAAAACACUGCUUUAGUGUGUUGUAAUUUGCCGUUGUGAUUUUUCAACUUGCUUUUUAAGAUAUUCUAGGCUUCCUCAGUCAAAUAUAAAAUUACUAACUGCUGGUCAAAGGCCAGCAACCCAAUGUGACUAACAGCAGAUGCUUUCAAGCGCAUUGGAAGAGUCAGGGAUCUGUUGAAACUUUCCAUUCCUUUCACCCCAAGGGAAAUCCUUGGGGUUUUGAGGGUAUAGCAGUUGCUUCUGACAAGGUACCAAAUCUUCCCAAUAGGACCCCUAACUGCACCUUUUAUUGCUCAGUGAAUUGUUGCCAGUCAUUUAAUUAGUAAAUGUUGGAUAUUAACUUCAUUGCUGUAUUUUAAUGUCUAUAUUUUUCUGAUAAUACAUUAUUCCAACAACUAAAGAAAGUGAAAGUUUCUAAUAUCACCCUUCAGAGAUAAUCAUUGUUAACGGUUCGGCAUGUAUCCUUUAAGACUUCGAAAUUUUUAUAUAGAUUUUGAUUGAUUUUAAAAAAGCAUAGGGGAAAUUAUAUAUAUUCUAUUGUUUUGGAAACUUUUUUUGUUUUACUUAAUGUAUCAUAAACAUCUUUCCAAGUUUAUACCCAAAAGUUCACCUUAACUUUUUUUUUUAAUAGGUGUGUUACCAACCUGGGUCCUUGGACUCUUUAAUCAAUAGAAAUUGAUAAGAGGCCAGAGGAGAAAUUCAGGCAAGGCUUUAUUGGGAGUGAAAACAAGAAACAGGUGCCCUUGCUCACUCUCCAAGGAGGGUGGGCUGGUUCCUUAAAUAGAGCGAGGGUAGGGGCAGAUGGUGAAUCGGGCAGGAGGGGCGGCUUAGAUGGUCUGCCCACCCCCGUGGUGGUGCUGUGUGCAGGGAUCAUGCGCAGUACCCUGCUUCUGCUCCAGGCACUUCACAAGUGGCAGUCGGUUUGUGGCCUUUUUGUAAUAUUGUUCUUAAUCACUCCACUGCCAUGCAUGCAGUUAUUUUUAGUCCCUUAUAGUUUCUCUGUAUUCUGUUGCUGGAGGAGACAUUUGUCCAGUAAAGGGUCCCACAUCCCAGUUCCCAGCCUAUCUUAGGUGCAUAGUUUUCUUUUACAUGAAUAUACUCCAUAUUAAUUUUACCAUUUGUGAUGGACAUUUUAAGGUGUUUCAAUAUUGUCUAUAUUAUAAACAAUAUUGCAAUAAAAGCCUUUGUGUGUA